rnacentral:rRNA from 1 species
AACAUUGUUUCUUGUAGUUGAUUUGAGAUAAUGUCUGCCCACUGAGAAGUUAAAGGGCUGCAGUAUACUGACUGUACAAAGGUAGCAUAAUAAAUAGUUUCUUAAUUGGGAGCUGGAAUGAAAGGCUUAAUGAGAAAUCUACUGUCUUAUUUAAAGGAUUAGAAUUUAAUUUUUAGGUAAAAAUGCCUAAGUGUGUGAAUGGGACGAGAAGACCCUGUAGAAUUUUAUUUUGUUAUUUGGUUAGUUAGAUUUAAAUUUGAUGAGUUAUGUUGUAAAUAAAAAUUUAAUUGGGGUGAUUAAAAAAUAAUUAACUUUUAUUUAUUAGUAUUAUUUAUAAGUAUAUAUUUGAUCCGUGUUGGAUGAUUAUAAGAUAAAUUACCUCAGGGAUAACAGCGUAAUUUAUUCGGAUAGUUCAUAUAGAUGAAUAAGAUUGCGACCUC